UGUUAAGGUCACAGGCUCUGCGGUCUAUCCUGAACCAAAGACCGGAGGCGAACUGGUCAGAACCCCUCUCACUCCUGAGAGCUUUAUCUGUAUCCCUGCGUAACAAAAACUCUCGCUUUACCCUCUCCUUGGUCUGCAAGAUUCUUCAAGUCGGAAGGGAGGGACGACUCAGAGCCUGCCAUCAGAUCACUGAGGUGCCACCGAAGUCAGUGGACCUACUGAGCCCUCCAUCCUGUGGGGUGAGCGGGGGUGACUCAGGGCAGGCUGGACCCAGAGACACCAGAAGCCAAAGCCCGAGGCUGGGGAGGAGCAGCACCUACUCAGCAAACUGAAGAUGUCCGUGAUCUCAGGACGGCUGAGCGUUAAGCUCUAGGAACAGCAUGUGGGAGCUGAGCCUGGGGGAGGGGGCCAGAGCCCAUCGGGAUGCUGAGCUGAGGGCAGUGGGAAGGCAGGGGUGGGGCUGGAGACCCUUAGAAGAAGCUCACUGGAGACUGGCAGACGGCGUGGCUUCCAUUCCAGGUGUGAUCCAGAUGUGCGACUGAGUGGCCUGGAGUCUGCUUGUGGAUAGGUUUGGAAGGAGCUCCUGGGUGGUCCGAGCCAAGGUGUCUCGUUGGUGGUUAAUUGCAACAUUCCGGAGCUCAGGGGGGCUGCCCUGCAGUGUGGACUUGGGGCCCACCAGCAUAUGAAGGGGUCUAAGAAGCCUUCGAAGUACACAGCCUGACCAGGAAAAACUGGCAAGAGAGACAAGGAGGACCAAGGCAGGAGCCCAGGAGGGCCCCACGUCCAAAGUCAUUGACGUAUCACCCUCACUGUAUGGGCCCUGUCCGCACACUUCUGUAGUCUUAAAGUUCUUUACUUCUCUCAUUUUCAACAUCAUAGAUUUAUCUCAAAGGAAAAUUUACAUAAUGGGUGAAAAAUCAACAGCGUAACCAUGAAUAACAUUGAUGAUAAAUAAAAUACAAUGGAAACAGCGCCAUGCUUCAAGGAUGCUAGCUAGAGAGAGGAAAUUCGGAAAUGUUCAUCCUGGGUUCGAGACCCCGCUGCCCCAACUGAGACGUGGUCCCUGGAAGAAACCAGGAUUGGGAGAGACUCAGAAAA